rnacentral:misc_RNA from 1 species
ACUCCGUAGGUGAACCUGCGGAGGGAUCAUUACAGAGUUCAUGCCCUACCGGGUAGAUCUCCCACCCUAUGUUAUUAUUACUUUGUUGCUUUGGCGGGCCGUUAGGCUCCGGCCCGACUACCGGCCCCGGCUGGUAAGCGCCCGCCAGAGGACCCAAAACCCUGAAUAUUAGUGUCGUCUGAGUACUAUAUAAUAGUUAAAACUUUCAACAACGGAUCUCUUGGUUCUGACAUCGAUGAAGAACGCAGC